rnacentral:rRNA from 1 species
GACCUCAAAUCAGGUAGGACUACCCGCUGAACUUAAGCAUAUCAAUAAGCGGAGGAAAAGAAACUAACAAGGAUUCCCCUAGUAACUGCGAGUGAAGCGGGAAAAGCUCAAAUUUAAAAUCUGGCGGUCUUUGGCUGUCCGAGUUGUAAUCUAGAGAAGUGUUAUCCGCGCUGGACCGUGUACAAGUCUCCUGGAAUGGAGCGUCAUAGAGGGUGAGAAUCCCGUCUUUGACACGGACUGCCAGGGCUUUGUGAUGCGCUCUCAAAGAGUCGAGUUGUUUGGGAAUGCAGCUCAAAAUGGUGGUAAAUUCCAUCUAAAGCUAAAUAUUGGCGAGAGACCGAUAGCGAACAAGUACCGUGAGGGAAAGAUGAAAAGAACUUUGGAAAGAGAGUUAAACAGUACGUGAAAUUGCUGAAAGGGAAACGCUUGAAGUCAGUCGCGUUGUCCGGGGAUCAACCUUGCUUUUGCUGGGUGUACUUUCCGGUUGACGGGUCAGCAUCAAUUUUGACCGUUGGAUAAAGGUUUUGGGAAAGUGGCUUCCUCGGAAGUGUUAUACCCAGGGUCGCAUACAACGGUUGGGAUUGAGGAACUCAGCACGCCGAAAGGCCGGGUACUUGUACCACGUUCGUGCUUAGGAUGCUGGCAUAAUGGCUUUAAUCGACCCGUCUUGAAACACGGACCAAGGAGUCUAACAUGCCUGCGAGUGUUUGGGUGGAAAACCCGAGCGCGUAAUGAAAGUGAAAGUUGAGAUCCCUGUCGCGGGGAGCAUCGACGCCCGGACCAGACCUUUUGUGACGGAUCCGCGGUAGAGCAUGUAUGUUGGGACCCGAAAGAUGGUGAACUAUGCCUGAAUAGGGUGAAGCCAGAGGAAACUCUGGUGGAGGCUCGUAGCGAUUCUGACGUGCAAAUCGAUCGUCAAAUUUGGGUAUAGGGGCGAAAGACUAAUCGAACCAUCUAGUAGCUGGUUCCU